rnacentral:lncRNA from 1 species
UAACACACAGAGUGACGGAGAGACAAACUACAAUGUCGGCAGGUUCCAAGAGCGUCCUAGUUCCCACUGAUGCCGAGCUGCUGCAGGCACAAGCAGAUCUAUGGCGCCACAGCCUCUACUACCUCACCUCCAUGGCGUUCAAGUGUGCCGUCGAGCUCGGCGUCCCAACUGCCAUCCAUAACCUGGGAGGGGCUGCAUCGGUGAAGGACCUGGUAACAACACUAUCCCUCCCGGAAACUAAGCUGCCGUUCCUGCGCCGUGUGAUGCGGUUGCUGGUCACCUCUGGCAUCUUUGCAUCUGAAAGCAGCGCCGAUGUGGAGACCUACCGCCUCAACCCUCUCUCCUGGCUCCUGGUGGAAGGUGUGGAUGCUGAAGACCACACCAACCAGAGAAGUUUCGUGUUAGCCACUGUCUCGCGGCAUUAUGUUGAAGCAGCGAUGUCCCUUGCUGACUGGUUCAAGAAGGAUUUGGCGCCCCCUCUCCCAUCGCCGUUCGAGGAACUACAUGGUGUGCCACUCCUUCAUGAGAAAACACCACUCUUGGACAAAGAUCUUCACGACGUUGUUCUUGAAGGUUUGGCAGCACAUGACAAUUUGGCAAUAGGAACAAUUAUGCGGGAGUGCCAUGAUCUUUUCCGGGGGGUGCAGUCGCUAACUGACUGCUGUGGGGGAGAUGGCACCACGGCGAGGGCUAUCGUCAGGGCCCACCCUAACAUCAAGUGCACCGUGCUUGACCUACCAGAAGUCAUCAAGACUGCACCAGCUGAUGGUGUCAUAAACUACGUUGCGGGUGACAUGUUCAAAUCUGUCCCGCCAUCUCAAGCUGUGUUGCUCA